GGAGAAAUGGCAGAGUGGUCGAUUGCGGCAGUCUUGAAAACUGUUGAGGGUAAUACCUCCGGGGGUUCGAAUCCCUCUUUCUCCG
rnacentral:tRNA from 1 species